rnacentral:rRNA from 1 species
UGCCAGCCGCCGCGGUAAUACGGAGGGGGUUAGCGUUGUUCGGAAUUACUGGGCGUAAAGCGUACGUAGGCGGAUCAGAAAGUAGGGGGUGAAAUCCCAGGGCUCAACCCUGGAACUGCCUCCUAAACUCCUGGUCUUGAGUUCGAGAGAGGUGAGUGGAAUUCCAAGUGUAGAGGUGAAAUUCGUAGAUAUUUGGAGGAACACCAGUGGCGAAGGCGGCUCACUGGCUCGAUACUGACGCUGAGGUACGAAGGCGUGGGUAGCGAACGGGAUUAGAUA